rnacentral:rRNA from 1 species
UCAUUACUAGAGCAAAGGAUAGACAGCGCCCGCGGAGCUCGCUCCCGGGGCUACCCUACUCCCGUAGGGUUUAGAGUCGUCGGGCCUCUCGGAGAAGCUCGGUCCUGAACUCCACCCUUGAAUAAACUACCUUUGUUGCUUUGGCGGGCCGCCUCGUGCCAGCGGCUUCGGCUGUUGAGUGCCCGCCAGAGGACCCCAACUCUUGUUUUUAGUGAUGUCUGAGUACUAUAUAAUAGUUAAAACUUUCAACAACGGAUCUCUUGGUUCUGGCAUCGAUGAAGAACGCAGCGAAAUGCGAUAAGUAAUGUGAAUUGCAGAAUUCAGUGAAUCAUCGAAUCUUUGAACGCACAUUGCGCCCUCUGGUAUUCCGGGGGGCAUGCCUGUUCGAGCGUCAUUAUAACCACUCAAGCUCUCGCUUGGUAUUGGGGUUCGCGGUUUCGCGGCCCCUAAAAUCAGUGGCGGUGCCUGUCGGCUCUACGCGUAGUAAUACUCCUCGCGAUUGAGUCCGGUAGGUCUACUUGCCAGCAACCCCUAAUUUUUUUAAGGUUGACCUCGGAUCAGGUAGGGAUACCCGCUGAACUUAAGCAUAUCA